rnacentral:rRNA from 1 species
GACGAACGCUGGCGGCGUGCUUAACACAUGCAAGUCGAACGAGUGGCGGACGGGUGAGUAAUGCUUGGGAAUCUAGCUUAUGGAGGGGGAUAACUACGGGAAACUGUAGCUAAUACCGCGUACCAUAGGAUGAGCCCAAGUGGGAUUAGGUAGUUGGUGAGGUAAAGGCUCACCAAGCCGGCGAUCUCUAGCUGGUCUGAGAGGAUGACCAGGCACACUGGGACUUGGACACGGCCCAGACUCCUACGGGAGGCAGCAGGGGGGAAGUUUCCGCAAAGGACGAAAGUUGACGGAGCAACGCCGCGGGAGUGAUGACAGCCUUCGGGUUGUAAAGCUCUGUUAAUCGGGAGACGGUACCGGAAUAGAAAGCCACGGCUAACUACGUGCCAGCAGCCGCGGUAAUUC